UACGUAGGCAGCAAGCGUUGUUCGGAAUUACUGGGCGUAAAGAGUGUGUAGGCGGUGCUCUAAGUCUGUUGUGAAAUCUCCCGGCUUAACUGGGAGGGUGCAGCGGAAACUGGAAUGCUCGAGUAUGGGAGAGGUAGGCGGAAUUCCUGGUGUAGCGGUGAAAUGCGUAGAUAUCAGGAGGAACACCGGUGGCGAAGGCGGAUCUCUGGGCCUGUCCUGACGCUGAGGCGCGAAAGCUAGGGGGAGCGAACAGG
rnacentral:rRNA from 1 species